rnacentral:lncRNA from 1 species
GUUGAAAGUGAAGUAAUACGCCGGGCGUGGUGGCUGACUCCUGUAAUCCCAGCACUUUGGGAGGCCAAGGCGGGCGGAUCACAAGGUCAGGAGAUCGAGACCAUCCUGGCUAACGCGGUGAAACCCUGUCUCUACUAAAAAUACAAAAAAAUAGCUGGGCGUGGUGGUACGUGCCGGUAGUUCCAGCUACUCGGGAGGCUGAGGCAGGAGAAUCGCUUGAACCUGGGAGGCAGAGGCUGCAGUGAGCUGAGAUCGUGCGAUUGCACUCCAGCCUGGGUGACAAAGCAAGACUCUGACUCCAAAAAAGAAAAAAAAAAGAAAAAAAAAAACAAAAGACAAAAAAAAAAUAAGCGUAACUUCCCUCAAAGCAACAACCCCCCCCCCCCUUUUCAUAUUCUUGCCUGGAAGAAAGGCCUU